UUUGCAAGCCUGGACGUGAAGGAGGAGAACCCUCACGACUGAGUGUGGAAGCAGGGUGGGCGAAGGACCACUGCAGGUGUAACCGGGAUCCUUGAGACCACAGGUUUCAAGAACAUUGAGAGAGACAGCUAUGGGUGGCCAGGAUGAGGAGACAGUUCAAGCCAUCAAACAGGGCAGUGCUGUGUUCUGAUCAUUCUGAGGAGGCAUAUUUCAAUAAAACCUGACAAACUGUCAGACUGUGACCAGAUGCAGUAUCAACAACCUUCAACUUUCCUGAGCAUCUUCACAAGCAGACUUCACCAGAAAAGGAAGUUAGUGCAGCAGACCAUCAGUACAGCACAGCCAGCCCACAGUCAAUGAAGAGAAAGCUUCACCAGACCGUGGAUGCGCUUCUGGUCUGCAAGAAAAGGUUGAAGCUAGGUCAGCAGCAAACCAGGAGGUUGCAGAAGAAAGUAGAGGCCCUGCA